GGGGAAUCUUGCACAAUGGAGGAAACUCUGAUGCAGCGAUGCCGCGUGAGUGAAGAAGGCCUUUGGGUUGUAAAGCUCUUUUGUAGGGGAAGAUAAUGACUGUACCCUAAGAAUAAGGUCCGGCUAACUUCGUGCCAGCAGCCGCGGUAAUACGAAGGGACCUAGCGUAGUUCGGAAUUACUGGGCGUAAAGCGCGCGCAGGCCGUUGAGUUAGUUAAUUGUGAAAUCCCAAAGCUUAACUUUGGAACUGCAAUUAAAACUGCUCGACUAGAGUUUGAUAGAGGAAAGCGGAAUACAUAGUGUAGAGGUGAAAUUCGUAGAUAUUAUGUAGAACACCAGUUGCGAAGGCGGCUUUCUGGAUCAACACUGACGCUGAGGCGCGAAAGUAUGGGUAGCAAAGAGGAUUAGAUACCCUCGUAGUCCAUACCAUAAACGAUGAUUGCUAGAUGUUGGAAAUUUAUUUUCAGUAUCGCAGCUAACGCAUUAAGCAAUCCGCCUGGGGAGUACGACCGCAAGGUUA
rnacentral:rRNA from 1 species